CGCGGCCUAUCAGCUUGUUGGUGGGGUGAUGGCCUACCAAGGCGACGACGGGUAGCCGGCCUGAGAGGGUGUCCGGCCACACUGGGACUGAGAUACGGCCCAGACUCCUACGGGAGGCAGCAGUGGGGAAUAUUGCACAAUGGGCGCAAGCCUGAUGCAGCGACGCCGCGUGGGGGAUGACGGCCUUCGGGUUGUAAACCUCUUUCACCAUCGGCGAAGCCUUCAGCUUUUGUUGGGGGUGACGGUAGGUGGAGAAGAAGCACCGGCCAACUACGUGCCAGCAGCCGCGGUAAUACGUAGGGUGCGAGCGUUGUCCGGAAUUACUGGGCGUAAAGAGCUCGUAGGUGGUUUGUCGCGUUGUUCGUGAAAUUCCCUGGCUUAACUGGGGGCGUGCGGGCGAUACGGGCAGACUGGAGUACUGCAGGGGAGACUGGAAUUCCUGGUGUAGCGGUGGAAUGCGCAGAUAUCAGGAGGAACACCGGUGGCGAAGGCGGGUCUCUGGGCAGUAACUGACGCUGAGGAGCGAAAGCGUGGGGAGCGAACAGGAUUAGAUACCCUGGUAGUCCACGCCGUAAACGGUGGGUACUAGGUGUGGGUUUCCUUCCUUGGGAUCCGUGCCGUAGCUAACGCAUUAAGUACCCCGC
rnacentral:rRNA from 1 species